AGAGUUUGAUCCUGGCUCAGGAUGAACGUUGGCGGCGUGCCUAAUACAUGCAAGUCGAACGAAGAGCUCAAAGUAGCAAUACUUUGAUCACUCUUAGUGGCGAACGGGUGAGUAACGCGUUGGUGAUCUGCCCCAAAGAGAGGGAUAACAGCCCGAAAGGUUGCUAAUACCUCAUGUGAUCAUUUGUUUUAGAAACUUAUGAUUAAAGGAGCUUGCUCCACUUUGGGAGGAGCCUGCGUCCCAUCAGCUAGUUGGUAGGGUAAUGGCCUACCAAGGCUAUGACGGGUAGGGGACCUGAGAGGGUGGCCCCCCACAAUGGAACUGAAACACGGUCCAUACACCUACGGGUGGCAGCAGUAGGGAAUAUUGGUAAUCUGCGAAAGCGGGAACCAGCAACGCCGCGUGCGCGAUGACGGCCUCGGGUUGUAAAGCGCUUUUCAAGAGGAAGAGGAAGGACUGUACUCUUGGAAUAAGUCUCGGCUAACUACGUGCCAGCAGCCGCGGUAACACGUAGGAGGCUAACGUUAUCCGGAUUUACUGGGCGUAAAGCGCGUGCAGGCGGUUCGGUAAGUUGGACGUGAAAGCUCCUGGCUCAACUGGGAGAGGUCGUUCAAUACUGUCGGACUAGAGGAUGGUAGAGGGAGGUGGAAUUCCGGGUGUAGUGGUGAAAUGCGCAGAUAUCCGGAGGAACACCAGUGGCGAAAGCGGCCUCCUGGACCAUUCCUGACGCUCAGACGCGAAAGCUAGGGUAGCAAACGGGAUUAGAGACCCCGGUAGUCCUAGCUGUAAACGAUGUGAACUUGGCGUCGGUGGGAUUAAAUCCAUCGGUG
rnacentral:rRNA from 1 species